rnacentral:tRNA from 1 species
CAGGGAGACAACAAAAUGUUAAAUAUUAUUAUUUUGUCACCUUAGGUCGAUCGGUAUCUCACAUUCUUAUAUUUAAUAAGGAUUUCAAUUCCUAAGUUUUUCUAGGUCACACCCAUUUUUUUCCUGGGCCAUUAGCUCAGGUGGUUAGAGCGCACCCCUGAUAAGGGUGAGGUCCCUGGUUCAAGUCCAGGAUGGCCCAUAUCUCUAUGUUGGGGGUAUAGCUCAGUUGGUAGAGCGCCUGCUUUGCAAGCAGGAUGUCAGCGGUUCGAGUCCGCUUACCUCCACUGAUUACCACCUCUUCCAUAAACUGUAGAAAGGAAAAUUUUUGAGUUGUGAUCAAAAAAUCCUGAACGAAUCUAGCUUCCUAAUGAAAUCAUCAAGACGAAUCAUUAAGAUGCUGGACUCAUUGAAUUAAUUUCAUUGUUUUCAGAGAACCUUGACAACUGCAUAGAUUAUUUUUUUAAAGACAAUAAGCAUCUUUAAUGAUGCAGAUUUAUUAUUUGUGCGAAUGCAUUAAUAACAAUUCUAUUAAGCUGAUGCUUCAAUUUUGAAGUUAUU